GAAAUAAAAUAAAAUUAAAGCUUCUAACUUUAAAUAUAGCAUUUACUGUUAUUAUUUCA
rnacentral:tRNA from 1 species